rnacentral:rRNA from 1 species
GACGAACGCUGGCGGCGUGCUUAACACAUGCAAGUCGAACGGAAAGGCCCUGCUUUUGUGGGGUGCUCGAGUGGCGAACGGGUGAGUAACACGUGAGUAACCUGCCCUUUACUUUGGGAUAACUUCAGGAAACUGGGGCUAAUACCGGAUAGGAGCUCCUGCUGCAUGGUGGGGGUUGGAAAGUUUCGGCGGUUGGGGAUGGACUCGCGGCUUAUCAGCUUGUUGGUGGGGUAGUGGCUUACCAAGGCUUUGACGGGUAGCCGGCCUGAGAGGGUGACCGGCCACAUUGGGACUGAGAUACGGCCCAGACUCCUACGGGAGGCAGCAGUGGGGAAUAUUGCACAAUGGGCGGAAGCCUGAUGCAGCAACGCCGCGUGCGGGAUGACGGACUUCGGGUUGUAAACCGAGUUCGCCUGUGACGAAGCGUGAGUGACGGUAAUGGGUAAAGAAGAACCGGCUAACUACGUG